CUUCUGGUGAGAGAAAGCUGAGCAGAAUGGAUCUAAUCUGAUUCCUCCACCCAGAAGCCCUUAAAAUGCAGCUUUGUUUUAAGCCUUCUUGAAGAUUUGGGCUAGAUCUAGAAAAGAACCUCACCACGGAGGAUGUGCAAAGUACAACACGUGACCCCGGAGACGGAAGCUCUUCUCUACCUCCGUAAAGAUGAUCUCUGAUGAACAGACAUGAUCAUGCCUGGAGAACAGGGAUGGACAGUCCCGCUUCUGAAAGACCCUGUCUGGCUGAUGAUUCAUGGUGCGCCGGGCAGACCCCAGGCCAAGAGACCCCACCCACAGUACCUGAGUGCUCAGCUGGGAACCAGACCAGACCUCAAAACAGGUUUGCAGAAUUAAGAUGAGGAGCUGAGCUCAACACAGCCUCCGCAGCUCCCCAGGGCGGGCCUGAGCCGAGGGAGAGCCCAUGGCCAUCAGGGUGCUGGAAUGCAUGUCACACUGCAUUACGUGCAUUACGAUCCACGCUGCAAUGACAGCCCAGAGCGUGGAGAACCCAGAGAGGGUGGGGAGAUGGAAUCCCGGCGAGCCAGCGCUGGCAGGGACCACGGGGAGCAGCUGGUCCAGCCGCCGGUUUUCCAAGAGAGAAGACUAAGAAGUGAGUCACUUGCCCACAGCCACAGAGAGAAGGAGGGCAACGAGGCCGGCAGACCAGCCCCCCAGCAUUGACCUGGAUGCCUGCCACAGCCUCCUCCCUGGUCUCCGGCCUCCCACCUCUGCUCCUCGGUCUCCUCUACCCAGCCAGUAACUGCAGAGAGCACUAAAGCACAGUCCUGGCAUCUCACCCCCUUAACCCUGGCCACGGCUUCCCAGUGCCUCCAAGAUAAAGCACCAACACCUGAGGACAGCAGCUUGUUUUGAGAGUCCCCUCCAUUGAAACACGCACAUCUAAUUUGUCCUUCAGUUCGCUGGACUCCACGCUGAACGUGCCAUGCUCCAUUGCCCCGUGAGUAACUCCAUGCUCUUGCCGGUUUCACACGGCCUCUCAGAGCUGGAGCCUUUGUUCAGGAGCCCUGGGCAGCUUUCAGGAAGCUCUUGGGCUCAUCAGCUUCCUCUGGCUGAAGCCGCCCCAGUGGAAUCAUGGGGAUUUCUUACUUUGAAGGUGGGGCCACCCGCAGACUGUAACCGGCUGGUUCAAGAUCAAGGACUUCCCCAGGCCACCUGCCUCAGAGGCAAGAAAGGCUCAGCUGAGUCCCAGACACUCCUCGCUGUGGCCCCUCCUUCCUCCCUGCUGGGCAGGCCCCCCUCAAUUCUGUUUGCCAGCAGGGCCUAGUAACACUGAAAGACGAAAAGGGAAAUAAAAUAAACACAAUUAAUAGGCUAAAGGUUACUGAAUAAAGUGGCAGCAGUAAAUAAAUUGACUACUGUGCAAAUACAAAGACAUGAAGACAUGAAACCCCUGCUCUAAAUGACCACUCACCAAGAGCAAGGCCUGGGCUGGAGGCAGGGAGCACCUCCCUAAGGAGCACUCCCUCUUUCCCGGAGUGAGUCCUCCUUCUAGAUGGAAUUCAGUCCGGGUUCCUCUUGAGCCACAGUCCCUGUUGGGGCCUAUCUCAGUGGACUCAAGAUCCUGAACUUCUUCCAGAUUGCUGACUACACAUUUGAGUCACCCAGAGAUUAAAAGAAAAAACAAAUAAUUUCCCAGUGAUCAGGAGUAAAUCAGCUGGGGCAGGGUUGGUGCUAUGAAUGACCACACUGAUUUGUACACUUCACUGAUUUGUAGUGUUUGCUAUUUCCGUCGUGUAAAUACUGCCAACAUGGACAAUCUUCAGUUGCUAAUGGUUUACUAACUGGCUUGUAAAUGAAUUCAUUCAGUAUUCAAGAAAAUGGCACUACAUUUA
rnacentral:lncRNA from 1 species